GGAGGGCCUAUCUGUCUGAAGGGAUUCAACAGAGGUACUACAGAGAACAGGACUGUCCAGGAGAUCAGAGAAUUCUAUUUUCCGUGGGAUGAGAAGACUUCAGAGUCCUGCCCAUGUCUUCUAAUCUUCGGCUCCCAAAUCCUGGGUUCUUCCUCGGGCACCCUGACGGUGAAGAAAGGUGCUGAAUCCACCAGAAACAACCUUAUUCCAGUGGGGAAGCUUGUGUCUUCCUUGGCAUCUUGUACUCCCUCCCUCCUGUCUCCUCCUCACCUCCCUCUCUAUGCAAAGAAAACUGUCUUCCUGCCCUUAGAAGAAGGUGGCCCCCAGCUCCAGCUCUCAACAUCCCUACCACCCCUCCAGCUAAGAAGGUUGGAUGCACUGGAAAAGCCCCGGGCUUCCAGAUUAACCUUGCAAAACCACUCGGCUGUAGCUGGUCUCAGUUGAGCCCCCACCUGCAGGUGAUACCACCUCAGGACUGGAGGGUUGACUA
ensembl:lncRNA